ACGAAACAAUUAAUGCGCGCCUAUAACAAUUUUGUUUUAAACCUAAUCCGUAGCUACUCUACUAGUUCAUUAAUUUUGAACAGCACUUUCAGGAUGCAUGGCGUCAGUAAAACAAACGGGUCCCUUAAUGUGUCAAAGCUGUGAACAUCUGCAGGUCUUUGCAAGCCAAGUAUGCUGCUCUAUAAAAGCCAGGCUGAACAUUCAACAUUUCAUUGUGCUCAAAAGUGAACAGUAAAACAUUCUGCUAAAUACAAAGUUGGUGUUGAAGAAGCGUUCGAGAAGCUGAACUCCUGCAAAAGUCAUGAAGAAUUUCUUGGUCAUCUUGCUUAUGUUAUCGACCAUGACCCUGUGCUUGGCGAAGCCGAAAUGGAUAUGGUUCGAUGAAGAAGAGAAGAAUGGUGGGAAUGUCAACGAUGUAGUCUUUGCAAGAGAAAAUAGAAAUAAUAAAGGGAUUCUGAAGAAACAUUGCGACCCCCCGGGACCACACUGUCUCUUGAAAACACAGCAAUAACACUAUAUAACUUUAAUUAAACUACUAUAUAUUAACAUCAUACUCAUGAUACUGAUAAUAUAUGUGUACG